AGAGUUUGAUCCUGGCUCAGAACGUACGCUGGCGGCACGCCUAAUACAUGCAAGUCGAACGAAGUAGCAAUACUUAGUGGCAGACGGGUGAGUAACAUGUGGGUAUCUUCCCUUUGGUGAGGAAUAACACGAGGAAACUUGUGCUAAUACCGGAUAAGUCUUUACGGAGAAAGCUUUAUGCACCAUUGGAUGAGCCUGCACUUGAUUAGUUUGUUGGUGGGGUAAUGGCCUACCAAGACAAUGAUCAAUAGCUGAUUUGAGAGGAUGAUCAGCCACAUUGGAACUGAGACACGGUCCAAACUCCUACGGGAGGCAGCAGUAGGGAAUCUUGCACAAUGGAGGAAACUCUGAUGCAGCGAUGCCGCGUGAGUGAAGAAGGCCUUUGGGUUGUAAAGCUCUUUCGUCGGGGAAGAAAAUGACUGUACCCGAAUAAGAAGGUCCGGCUAACUUCGUGCCAGCAGCCGCGGUAAUACGAAGGGACCUAGCGUAGUUCGGAAUUACUGGGCGUAAAGCGUGCGUAGGCGGUUUAUCAAGUCAGAUGUGAAAUCCCCGGGCUUAACCUGGGAACUGCAUUUGAAACUGGUCAACUAGAGUAUGGUAGAGGAAAGUGGAAUUUCUGGUGUAGCGGUGAAAUGCGUAGAUAUCAGAAGGAACAUCAAUGGCGAAGGCAGCUUUCUGGCCCAAUACUGACGCUGAGGUACGAAAGCGUGGGUAGCAAACAGGAUUAGAUACCCUGGUAGUCCACGCCGUAAACGAUGAUAACUAGCCGUUGGGGGGAUUUACCCUUUAGUGGCGAAGCUAACGCGUUAAGUUAUCCGCCUGGGGAGUACGGCCGCAAGGCUAAAACUCAAAGGAAUUGACGGGGACCCGCACAAGCGGUGGAGCAUGUGGUUUAAUUCGAUGCAACGCGAAGAACCUUACCUGGUCUUGACAUCCUGCGAACUUUCUAGAAAUAGAUUGGUGCCUUCGGGAACGCAGUGACAGGUGCUGCAUGGCUGUCGUCAGCUCGUGUCGUGAGAUGUUGGGUUAAGUCCCGUAACGAGCGCAACCCUUAUCCUUAUUUGCCAGCACGUCAUGGUGGGAACUAUAAGGAGACUGCCGGUGAUAAACCGGAGGAAGGCGGGGAUGACGUCAAGUCAUCAUGGCCCUUACGACCAGGGCUACACACGUGCUACAAUGGGAAGGACAAAGAGCCGCGAAGCCGCGAGGUGUAGCUAAUCUCACAAAUCUUCUCGUAGUCCGGAUUGGAGUCUGCAACUCGACUCCAUGAAGUCGGAAUCGCUAGUAAUCGUAGAUCAGAAUGCUACGGUGAAUACGUUCCCGGGUCUUGUACACACCGCCCGUCAUACCAUGGGAGUGGGUUGCACCAGAAGUGGCUAGUCUAACUUAGUGAGGACGGUCACCACGGUGUGAUUCAUGACUGGGGUAAAGUCGUAACAAGGUAACC
rnacentral:rRNA from 1 species